rnacentral:rRNA from 1 species
GUGAACGCUGGCGGUAGGCCUGACCCAUGCAAGUCGAACGGCAGCACCGGAGAGCUUGCUCUCUAGGUGGCGAGUGGCGGACGGGUGAGGAAUACAUCGGAAUCUGCCCAGUCGUGGGGGAUAACGUAGGGAAACUUACGCUAAUACCGCAUACGACCUUCGGGUGAAAGAGGGGGAUCGCAAGACCUCUCGCGAUUGGAUGAGCCGAUGUCGGAUUAGCUAGUUAGCGGGGUAAUGGCCCACCAAGGCGACGAUCCGUAGCUGGUCUGAGAGGAUGAUCAGCCACACUGGAACUGAGACACGGUCCAGACUCCUACGGGAGGCAGCAGUGGGGAAUAUUGGACAAUGGGCGCAAGCCUGAUCCAGCCAUACCGCGUGGGUGAAGAAGGCCUUCGGGUUGUAAAGCCCUUUUGUUGGGAAAGAAAUCUUUCAGGCUAAUACCCUGGGAGGAUGACGGUACCCAAAGAAUAAGCACCGGCUAACUUCGUG